UGAUGAGAUAAAUGAGGACAUAGACAAGAGAAAUGUCCAAAGGACAUUUCUCUUGUCUAUGUCCUCAUUUAUCUCAUCACUU
rnacentral:pre_miRNA from 1 species